GUGCAGUACAGGCUCGCAGGGAAGCAGGUUCAGCCGGCCGUUUCAGCGUGUUCGGAGACAGUCUCUACGUAGAAAUUGUGUAUUGUAAGGAGUGCUACUCCAGGACGACGUUUGCAGAGGUUUCGAUCGCUGGCGGAGCUCCAAGCCUAGCACGGGAAAGGCCUGUAGAUGUUUCAGAUAAACCUCCGAGGCAGCGUGGCUGCCGCCUAGAGCCUCGGAUCGGAACGGGGAGGCUUUCGGGGGAACGGUUUGAAAGUGUUUGCGAUGUUACACAGCUGAUUUUCAUAAGGCGGAAGUUGGAUGCGGAGUCAGCACCUGACUCCGCAGCCAACUUCGGGAAGAGCAGGUGCCCGGACUCGGAACCUCGCAGGAGCCGCCUACCGCGCAUGGAUUUGGCACGGCACGCUGUGAGCAUCGUCGCAGCAGUGAACGGAGCUGGCAAACUAAGGUGCUUGAUGAAGAUGUUGGGCGCGCUGCCUUUACUCCAGUGACGAAUUCGUCUGCAAGCCCUGGCGAGCACCCCGCGGUACCUCGACAGCGUCAGAGGCCGUUGACUACGCCAAGCAGUAUGCGCUGGUGACUCCAUCCAGAAAAUGUCGACCGCUGGCGAAACAGCGAAACAUGCAUGCUGUUCAUGUAGUGUGAGCAACCUUUCCAAAGACCCAUAGCCAAUAUUCGACUGCGAUAGCGCUCGCGAUCUCCGCUGGGAUUUAGACACCUCAAGGCUUUAGGUGUUGGAUAUGCCUACCUGCUUGCCUGCAUGAUCCAAGGUGGAAACACGUUACUGUGGGUGCUUGGCAAAGCGUCGCGCAGGACUGCUCUCUAUAUCUUUGUACAUUGCAUCAAUGCGUAUAGCCAUCCGCACAAGGAACGACGGCGUUGCCGCGUUCCAGACGCAAGCCCUAUGCCUUCUACUUCAUUAUCAGGAGUGCUCCCGCAAGUUUGUGGCGAUAGUACAAGUAUGCUGGUUGCAUGCACGUGCACAUGGAAGGUGCUCUGUCCAUUCAGCUUGGGGACGCUCCCAUGCAUAAAACAAAGCGUAGAGAGGCAACAUGGUUGUGCGUGAUCGAGGGGUACAGAGCGGUCCUGGAGAAUGCAAGCGAAAUGAACUUUCUCACUCCUUGUUUGGAUUCGUAACACUCGGUUUCCCUGCAAGUAGUGAAUUCUCGGCCUAGCGCUAUCGGAUUUCAGCGCCACAAUGACCAUCUUUGGUGCAUGUCCUGAAUAUACACCUGAUGCAAGGAUCGUAGCACCCUAUGUUUGCGCAGUAGCUGACCAUGCCUGAGCGCAACGAACGAUACGUCGUCUUGAAGAGGGCCUUGUGGCGCAAUACGCAAAUAGACGAUGUUUACUUCUAAUUGAGCGUGCCUGACCCCUGAUAUCGGCAAUCAUUAUGCACGGGUCAGGCACUGAUCGAGGAGCGCUCGCGAGAGACAGAUACAGGCAGGGCAACAGGAUUUCAUGACCAUUGCUGCAAGCCAAUUCACUCUAUCGGAAACAGUGAAUCAGAGUGAGUACGAAUGUUCCGGCACACAGAACGCGUUUUCAAGCAUGCUUCCGGCUGGUGGAGCUCGGCUUGGAUUGGCUGUUGCCGAAAUAAUGCUUAAUAUUGCGUUUCAGAUUAAAACGGAAUACUGAACGUCUCGCUCUCUUCCUGCCAUUCGAAUUGUCCGAAGAUUUUCACGUACGGGCCCGAGGUUGGAGAUGCAGCUAUCAGGGUUUCCGGAUUCAUGCGUAGUUUAAGGUUAUGGGUCGAGUUUCCGAAGUUGCUGCUUCUACGUUCUGCCGCCGGAAUUCCUUUUGUCACUGUCAUCAAGGUGAUUGGCGACUCCCUCGACCAAGCUUUCAUACAAUAACCGAUAUCGUUAUCCAAUGCAUACGUAAUAGCCUCCAUUCUUCUCUUUUCCUUACAAGUAGCAUGGUCAGGUAAAGCAU